UGGGGAAAAUGAUCUCAAGUCUGCAUCUUUCUGGUGGCAGACGCGGCUUGGUGUGUCUGCAAGCCUGAUAUGAGUGACACUGCUCUCCAGAAGACGCUGGAUUAUGCUUGUGGAGCUGGAGCUGACUGCACUCCCAUCCUCCAAAACGGAGCUUGUUACAAUCCCAACACAGUGAAAGCCCAUUGCUCCUAUGCUGCUAACAGCUACUACCAGAGGAAAGGGCAGGCACAAGGGACCUGUGAUUUCUCGGGCACUGCUGCUCUUGCCACCACAGAUCCAAGUAAGUCCAUGAACGUUCUUAGUUCCCCAUCACCCGGUUGUCAUUUCCCACAAAAAUGCACCAUUAAUCUUCAUCUGAUUGCUUACAGGUUACAGUGGUUGCACUUUCCCUGCAACUGCCAGGUACAUCUCUGAGUACAUUACAAUCAAUGAGCAUGACCAUCAUCUAUUUUGAUUUCAUUUCUCUGCUUCUUCUUCUUCCUCUUCCUCCUCCUCCAGUGCUGCAGGCACAGGAUCAACACCAGCAACAACCACACCCGGCACAACACCCGGCACCUUCUCCCCAACCAGUGGAGUAGUAGGGGGAUUGGGGCCUUCAAGCAGCAUGUCCAACGAGGACAUGAGCCAUGGUGAGUUCCUCAUGAAAGCAGGGAUGGGUUCUCUCCUCCUCACUGUCAUUUGCUCACUGAUGGCUUUGUUGGGUUGAUGAAAAGCCUCCGGUUCUAGCGUAUGAUCCCAUUGUUGUAACAUGGACUGAUACAGAGGCAUUUCUCGUCCAGCCUAUGGUUUUUGUCUUUCCCCAUUGUAAUGGACUGUAGCUCUUCUUCUUGUCCUAUUUCUUUCUUCUCCAUUGUUACUGAUGAGCUGUUGUUGAUGUGUAUGUGUUAACAUCAUGCUUCUUCUUCUAUUCCGAUGGUACAAAGAAAAUGGAAGAUGCAUUCAAGUUUCUUGUGACCAUUCAGAAUGCAAAUUCUGCAAUAAUGAUUUGACAUAUAAGUAAUGUUUGGAUUGGCCUGUUUGACUCAACUCAUUUAUUCUCCAAAAGAUGUAUACACCUUGAAAUUUAUGUACAAGUCAAGUCAAAACCAACUCAAUUUAUGUCUUCAUUAGUUCCAUUUCCUUCAUCCUUCAUCUAUUUAAGUUUUGACAAUCCUUAUUUCUUCACGUCUCCCAUUUAAAUUAAUGUUUAAAUAAACAAAAAUAAUAAAUCGUGCUUAUAUUCAUUAAAUAUUUUUCUUGGAUAUUAUUAUUAGUAAAAAAUUAUCAAUUCAAAAGGUCCAAGCCAUUCCAAUCAUCGAUGACGGGAGAUGAACGGCCGAGAUCAAUUCGAUCUUCCAGAAUCUCAAACAAAAACGUUCUGAUGCGUGCUUAUGGUUUAUUUACCCGCGUGUAAACCCUCCUUGAAGAUAGUAAUAUGUCGGUCCCACAGGUUAAAUAACAGGGAGACGUCAAGGGUAGAUGUCGGUAGAAGUCUCGAACGCAAACAGUUAACUUUAAAUAUAAUAAUAAUAAUAAAUGGAGGAAAAUCUACUGCUGCUUUGUCUGUUUUAGGUUUGGAAUCCCGCUGUUUGGAGGCGAGGGAAGAGAUGGGCGCUCUGCGCUUGAGGGCUUCCUUCGCCGUUGCGAGGUUGGCGUUGGGUUCUGCUCAUCCCCUGUCGUCCGAUGCCCAACCCCCUCGCACUCUUUCCCUCCGUGUUGCGGUUCCUUCUGGUUUGGUGCUUCUGAUUGUUGCCUUCUUCCGUUGACUGCUUGCUUCCACGCCAAGAUUGAUUUUUUUCCUUCUUCCUUGGAUCGCUUCGGCUGAAAGAUCGGAUCUUUGGCGGUGACGGCGCUAGCGUUAGUGCCUGUCCCGUUGGUUCUCGGUUAUCCGCCCCAAAGAUCCGAUCUUUUCUCGUAUGUUAUUGUCUUUGUUAGUAGCAAUCUGGGUUUUGGAGCUUUGAAAUGCCCUUCUUUAUGUGUGUCUGUGUUUCUCUUUUUGGGAUCUGAGUUUCGAUCCGUGGGCUGUUUGCAUUUUAUUAGGCUUUUCGUAUUGGAGAUUUAUUUGACUGGGAAAAGAUGAAAUUUUGUGGGUACGGAAGCUUUGCUCGGCGCUUUUAAUUUGCACGUAAGGGGCAGAAUUGUGUAGAUACUGUGGCAGUGAAUGUUGUACAGCAGUUAGUCCAGCAGUGUAUUUUAUUGGGUAAUAGGAAGGAGGAAAUCUUGUCAGAAAAAAAUUCCUCAAUUCAGUUGUAUGUAAUCCAAGCUAGUCUUUUGAAUGGAUAAGCAGGUAUACCAGAAGAGAGUCAAAUCUGGAGGUAGAAUUUUUCAGCGAUUAGCAUGCAAACAAGCCCCAGAAGAUGCUUCUUCUAAUGAUGAUAAAGUUCCUUGCAACACCCCUAGAGGUUAUACGGAGUCAACAUGCGUUUCUUUACGUGAGGGUAUGGCUUCAAGUAGUACUGAUAAUGGAGAUGCCUUCGUGAGUUCAGGGGAGUAUGUGAGGGACCAUGGUUCUCUUUUAAGUUUGCAGCCAUGGAUUUUCAAAACGGGAAGUUAUCAGAGAGAUGAGGAAUUAGUGAAACCAAAUGAUGAUUGUUCUGAGAAAUGUGGGUAUGAAAUGGAUGGUUUCAUGUAUAAUUCUCUUCCAGAGAUCUCUCCACAGAGUGUUAGUCUGGGUUACGCCUGUGGUAGAGGUCAAAGCACUAUUAGAGCCAGGCGCUCUCACCGCAGCUCAAUUAAGCCGCUUUCUUCCACAGAGAACUGCCUAAUCCCUCAACUUUACGAUGCAAAUUUUGAAAUCGAAGAGUUUGUUUUCAGUUCGUUUCCUUCUUCCACCACACCAGGCUUGAGGCCCUUUGUUGUAACAGAUGAGAGCAAGAUAGUUAACAAAUCUAGUUUUGGAUCUACAGGCAUAACUUUUGAUAGUGGAAUGAACAAGGGGAAUAUGAAGAAUGUGACAGGGGUUUCUUCUCUUCCUGAGUUGAGGACACCAAAAAGAAAGAGUAGGGAGACACCACAUGAUAUUGUGGGAUCUUCCAACAGUCGAAGAUCACACAUGAUCUCCCAUCAAAAAGGUAGUAUCAUUACCAUGUUUUCAUUGGUUCUGAUACUAAAGAUGCCUGUAGUGUGAUGGUUGCUGACUUGUAUUUUACUUUGUCUGCUGAAAUAGUCAUUGACCAUAUCCAAUGAAAAAUUAGACUUACUAGGAAGGGAAAAACAGCAUUAAAGAUUUGAAGCAAAAGCAUACAAUCAUAUUUUAUUAAUAUUUCUGUAUAUUGUGUUUUCUCUAGUUUCCUCAGUCCUAUCUUUUGUUUUAACUCUUUGUGGACUGUAUUAUGUACUUGUCAAUAUUUCUUCUCACCGUAUCACUCUGCUGAUAAUUAGUUUGGCUGGUAUACUGGACUCUUUUAUUUUAUUUUCUGCCCAAAUGGAUAUCACUAGUUGAUUCCUUGACUAAUAACAUCACCCUGGUCAAUUUCUUGAUUGAAGCAUAUAAAAAAUGGAAAAUCCAGGUUGGUGUGUUUAAUUUUUAUUCUUGUUCGAUUAACUGUUUCCAUGUUGAGUAUAGAAGUGGAAGUUCUUGUUGCUGUAGUCCAUCUUCCAAUUCCUAGUCACCAAUUAAUUGAUUGUUCAUCUAAUUGAGCAGUAUAUAUCUGUUUUGCAUAGCAAUGUGCUAAGUUGCUUUAUAAUGUUACUGUGUUUCUGAUGUUUUGAGAAUAGUUUCUUUGUUUUGACUUAUAAAUAUUCUUUUCUUUUGUAAUUGGACGAAGGUCAAUUGAUCUGGUGACAUUUUUAUUUGUAGUAUAUUGUCAUAUGUGAUGGACUAUUGUCUAUUAAGAUUGGCAUAUCAUUGUGAUGGGGUGUUUUUCCAUUCUGGAAGGUGGAGAAAUGAUUUCUGUAGCCUUUGAGAUGUCAUAUUAAAUCCUACUUUCGAGUUUCAGUGGGUCUUGGCAUCGAGUUAGGAUGAUAUCAGUAUGGGUUCUGUGUCAUGCCAAGGGUUUGCUGACACACAGGGCAAUUGCAUAUCUACCAUUGGAAAUAGGUGAAAUUCAUUUACGAUCUCUUAAAGCUAUGGCCUACAAGUAUCAUGGUUCUUAUAAUUUCAUAGUCUUGCCAUGCUCAUAUUGUUCAGAAAUUUGUAAGGGCAUUUGUGAAACUUUAGAAGGGUAUCCAUAUAUUUGUAGGGCAUUCAUGGAAGUUUGAAUUGUAACCUUUAGACAAUGACCUAAGCUGUGGGGUAUGUAGAAAUUGCACCAUAAUGUUAACUUGUAUUUAUCAGCAUAAACCUUUCCAAUUGUGUGUGACAGUGAACUUUACUCCUAUGUCGAGAUGGCUGUUUCCUUAGAAUAUAGAGCUCCAAAGGGAGUCCCACAGUAGAUGCAGUGUGCUUCCAUCCCUAGGGUUACUCCUUUCAGGUUAGGUGGAUGGACCUUGCACUUUUCACUUGCUACUAUUAAUCUAUAGAUUUCAAUGCUUCCUCUUGGUUAAAAAUUUUACUUCAAUUUUCUUAUUUCAUCAUGUGAAUUUGUAGUUUUCAUCAAGGAUUUUAAUUUUGAAUGAUACCACCCGUAUCGGGUGGUAUAUACCGGUCCGUCAGCAGACUGUUACACAAAUCGUCCGCUAUCGGGAUAGCGGGCGAUAGCAUCGAUUGGUGACAAAGAAGAAAGAAAGGGAGAAGAAAGAGGUCGGUGACAGAGAAGAAAGAAGAGGGAGAAGAGAAAGAAGAAAACCUGGAGAUUCGGCGCGGCGACGAAGCCUCGGCAAUGUCAUGGGGAGAAGCAAUUUCUUCUCCCCAGCAGAAGAAACCAAGCGAGGCGACGCCUUUCUUUUCUUUUUUUUUUCUUUUCGCGUGGGGAAACUGAGCGACAUCGUCGAGGCGAUGUCGCCUUUCCCUUUUUUUUUUGCGCGCGGAAACCGAGCGACAUCGUCGAUUUUUUUACACUGGGAAACCGAGGCGAUGUUGUCGAGCGCGGGGAAACCGAGUGACGUCGCCGAGCGCAAGGAAAUCGAGUGACGCUGCCUCGGCGAUGUUGCUCCCCUUUCUUUUUUUUUCGCGUGGCUCCUCACGUGGGCAGAGCCAUCGUGUGUGUGUAUAUAUAUAUAUAUAUAUAUAUACCGAAUGGUACAUCAAAAUGUAUUACUCAGUACACUUAUACCAUACCAAACCGAGCUCGAAACUCCGGUACGGUACGAAAUUACAAACCUUGAUUUUCAUAACACGUCCUUGAUGUAUAAAAGAUAUACAUGCAUUAUCAGUAUGUUUCUUUUGUGACUGGUAACACCAAUGUGCUAAGACAGCAACUUACAUUUGUUAUCCAAGUGCUGUGUGAUCUGUAAUUUUUGUCUCAAAACUACUAAUCUAUGAACAUAAUCAAAAUUCAGGAGAUUUCUAGUAGUGAACAACUGAGUAUGCUGGCAUAAUGUGGCAACCAGACUGACAUUUAUCGUCAGUCUUCUUCGUAAUCCUUUUUGCCGCAGAACAAACAUUGUCAUCUAUCAUGGUCGAUGCAUCUCAUGAGAUCUUUUAAUAUAUUAUUCAGUUUUACGAUAGUUUAUUGCUUCUUUCUGUGGCAGUUUUGCUGCGUCAUUGCUGCUACACAUACACAGGUUACACGACAUUUCAUUGAUGUAUUGGCAAUGGCACAGUCUCCACAUGGCCCCUAGGUGUCACCCAUGCAGAGGCAUCAAAUUCAACCUCUUGUGGGGUUCCCCAUGUCACCUAGAAUGCCAUGUGGGUCUUAUACAUUAAUGUAUAUAUAACAUCAUCCUGGCUAAAUUGUUAUCUGAGUUUUAGUUGAUUGUCUCAAAUUCUAAAUAAUUUCGCAAUAUAAUUUGAUUACAGUGUUCAUUCUAAAGCAGCACCGACAUUGUACCCAGGUUUGCAUGAUGGAAUACAUAUCUUCUCUAUUGGAGUCAGCCUUGGAAUCAUAUCCACUGUGCUAUCAAAUAGAAAAGAAAUAGAGAAUUUAAACAACAUGUUGAAGGGUUCGGAGAACUUGAUUCAAGAUUUGCAAGAGGAGUUGGAUAUGAAAGAUGCCGUAACUGUUAAAGAAUUGGCUAAUGAAGCUUGUGGGCACCAAAAACCAGUUGACAGCAUUGCUGAAUCAAUUAAAUCUGCCAUUGAUCAACUUCCAGAAUCCUAUUUUCCUGUAGAGGAAAAAGAUGAAUAUGACCAGCUAAAUUUCUCUAAGGAAGAGUCAAGGAGUAAGAUUGAAGCAGAGCUUGAGAUUGAACUGGAGAAACUGGAACUGACCAUGAACAGGUCAAGUCUGAACGGAACAAUGUUAGCACUUGGUGAGGUAAGGCCAAAAGACCUUUGUUUUUGUUGUUUGUGAAUUGUAAAUAAAAACUAUUUAUUUGAAACAGCUACUUCUUGCUUUUUAUUUAUCAUAUCCUAUAAAGAUUCUUUAGUGGUACCUUUCUAGAAAACAUUUGACAUAGUAUGUUUUCAUGUUCUUGCCAGAACAUUCUAGCAAUCUUCUGAAUCUGAAUUGCAGCAAACACAACCAUUCUGGCUAACUUGGUUCAUUUCUUAUUCAAUGCUUGCAAAACAAUAUUUCCUUCCAAAUCUGUAUAUGUAUAUGAAACCAGCUACAUUGACCAAGGUAGAAUGAGACAUGCUAGAAAUACUAAUAGAAAAAUUUUCACACUUUCUCGUCAUCUUUGAGUUUUCUUCUGAACUUCCUUUACAGCUUUCUGAAAACAAUAAUUGAGUGGAUGACGUGAUAAAUAGUCUUGUGUAUUUCUUUCGUAGUGUUCUACCUAGAUAUUCUGUCUCUCCCUUGUUCAAAUGGCCUUUAUAUAAUGGAUCUGAUCCAUGCUUGCUUUCCUUUUUCCUUUCAUCCAUUGAUCCUUUCUUAUAUCAGGUCCGUGAUAUAACAUAUCAGAAGGCAUCGUAGAAGUUAUUGGCAAACAUUCAAAGUCUUAUCCAUCUAUUCUGCAUUCUUAGUCUCACUUGAACAAAUAAGUGAAUAUCCAUACAGAUGAGAUGAGACUUGUUAAGGAUCAUCCAUCAUACAAUUCUUACAGAUGACAUCUGUAUGGAUAUUUCACUACUUCCAAUGUCCAUGUUCAAGAAAGUAGUACUCGAUUUUUAUAGAUUGGGGCUCAAAACCUGAACCAUCGAUCUGUUUUAUAAAAAGAAGGCUAAUAACCAAAACAUUUUUCCCAUCUUUCUGUUUCACAAACAACUUGACCUGACCUUCUGGCCAUGCUGAAAUUACAGAUUAUAUCUGCUGUGAUCAUCAUUUGGGUCCUAAUUCAGUGGGUAGAUUUCUUUCCUUCCUUGCGGAUCCUUUUAUUUUUUCCCUUUGGUUUCGUAUUCAGGAAUCAAUCCCAAUGUUAUUCAUCUACAGACCUAAACAGCAAGGCUUCUUGAUUUGUAGGCUCACUUACAUCAUGAUUGCUUCAUCUGCUGCAAUAUCCAUCACCUUACAUAGGUGUUUUAUAAGGCAUGAAGAUGGUGCUAAGAUUUAACUUGUUACAAUUCAUGUAUGUCUUUGGUACUAAAUUUUAUUUAUUGAACUCUGAAGUUUUACUUCCAGAUACUGAGAUGUGAUUUUUGGUAAAUUGAUUUUUGAAAUUGGGAAGAACAUUAUAUUUACUUGUAUUUGCACCGUAUGGGAGCCAGAUAUGUCUGACGCCAUUGUACCUGAUGAUGGUGAUAAAUCUAAUCUCCACAAUUUUAUUUCUGUCAAUGGUAUAUUACUUGGGCUUUUGUGUUAUGUUUUCCUAAUAAAUUUCCUUCAAAAUUCUAAACACACAUUUAUGGUCAACAACUUGUUUCUGGGUAGCUUUUGGUCAUGGAAGGAUAAUGCAUGACAUCCUUCGAUGAUAACUUUUGGUCAUGUUUCUGUGUCACUUUAUAUAGAUAUCAUUCUUAUAUACACGCUAAUGUGAUUUAAGAUGCAUUUUAUCAUGAUGCCUCUCUUCUGACAACAGUGACAUGUCCAACCUUUCUCGAAAUGUCUCAUUGCAGCUUGAUCUGGAUGUAGUUGCUGAUGUCGUAUAUGGGGAACUAAAGGCAGAUAUGCUCCCCGGUGGGGUUUCUGAGGACCAGGAUGAUAGUGCAAGUGACAGCGAGAACACUACAAACCAUAUCCACAAUGUCAACCAUGCAGUUUCACCACGAGAGCUUAGCUUACGCCUGCACGAUGUGAUCCAACUCAGGCUAGAAGAAAGAAUCAAAGAGCUAGAGGAUGAGCUUCAGCAAACCAAGAAGCAACUUCAGUCGGCAGAAUCCGAGCGCCUUCCUUCGCAAAGAGCCUUCUCAAGCAGCGACAUGGAAUCUUCCUCCAACCAGGACAGCCCAACGGGUAUUGCCGGAGACACGGCUUUGGCUCAGCCAUUUUGCUUGAACCUUGCUGGAGAUGCUCUAGACACGUACAAUGAAGCUUAUGAAGAGAUCAGACGGACAGCCAACAUGGUGAACAACUUGCCAUCCACGACUAACAUGACUGGUGAACUUGGACAUGGCUUAUAUUCAUCUGAACGGAGUUUUACAUGGGCAAUGGAAGUGCCAAAACGUUGCGGGAGGGAGACUAAGUGGGAGCAAAAUCUGAAGAGCACGGGAUUGAACGAUGAUCAGAUUCUUGAGAUCCAUGCGACGAAUGAAGAUGAAUAUAACGAUGAUGAAGAUGACGAUGAAAUGAAAAUGUUAAUCGAACAAAUUUUAGAGCGAACAAGGCAAGGCUCACCAAUUGUACUACAUGCACAAAGGUAUCUCUUUCCAAAGGACGAUUGAAUCCCCAAGGAUCGUUGUCUAUGAGAUGGAUUUUUGUAUAUUACCUAUAAUGAAAAGUUGAACAUGUUCUGGUUUCUGAGUUUUAGCCUUUUUGAUCUCAUCAGUGUGUCAUUUCCUUUCUCCAAACAUCCUGGAUCUGAUUCAUUCUGAUUCUAUACUUGUUUUGUACAGCUUGUUGAGAUGCACUCUCUUUACAACAAGCCCCAAGUGAGAAAAAUACAAUCUGAGGCACUUUUAGAUCUUGAUAUUGUAUUCAUAUCGAUCGUCGUCAGUUGUUAUCAGUUGGAUCAUUAUCGAUCUGUAUAUUGGUAGGAAGGAGGAAAAAGAAUUGAAGACGGAGAAUCGGAUGUGUCGGAUGAUCUGCAGAUCAGUAAAUACCAUCGAUAUGAUCCAAUCUGAACGACAUUUUGAACUGUGCCAAAACAACUUGAACCUUGCUUCAAGAUUGUUUCAACACCCUUCAGAAAAAAGCAUUGCAAUCUACAAAUCAAAGAAUAAGAAUGGAUGAUCAUGAAAGCCAUGAUGUCAAGUUUUUUCCCCUUCCUUUUACAGGUUAUUCUUUUUGGCUUUCUUGGAUUAAAGAAGAAAUCCAACACAAGCGUGUGAUAGCUUGGUUGGUAGGUGUUUUUUUCUUCCUUGUUUUUGUUUUCUAUUCUUCUUCUUGGUUGGUAAGUGGUUUUUUCUUCCUUGUUUUUGUUUUCUAUUCUUCUCAUGUUUCGAUGUGUCUGACUGCUUUGAAGUCAACUUACCUAUUUAUUGCUCCUCUGUUAACCCAAAAGCGUCUCCUUUGCCUCAUCCGCCUCCGAUGGCUGAAGCAAACCCUAAUUCCAACCCGGGCGUCCUCGAAACGCUGGGCGAGGAGAUCGUCCGCAUCGUUGCCCCCGUCUCCGCCUGCAUGCUCCUCGUUGUCCUCCUCGUCACUGCCCUUUCCUCUUCCUCGGGCGGCGGCCUCGCCUCCAUCGCCACCAUCGCCUAUUCCGAUGACUCCUCCGACUCCUUCUGGGACAAGCUCAAGGGCGCCCUCCUCAGCUCCCUCUCCUUCGUCGUCCUCAUCACCCUCCUCACCUUCCUCCUCGUCCUCCUCUUCUACCUCCGCUGCACUCGAUUCCUCAAGUCCUACAUGGCCUUCUCCUCCUUGGUCGUCCUCGCCUUUCUCGGCGGUGAGGUCUUCCUGCUGCUCAUCUCGCGCUUCUACGUCCCCAUUGACGUCGUCACCUUCUCGCUGCUCUUGUUCAAUUUCGCCGUUGUUGGAGUUCUGGCCGUAUUCUUGGCGAAAGUUCCGAUCAUGGUCAACCAGGGGUAUUUGGUGAUCAUCGGGGUUCUCGUCGCCUACUGGUUCACUCUCCUUCCGGAGUGGACCACCUGGGCGCUUCUGAUUGCCAUGUCUUUGUACGAUUUAGCUGCUGUUCUGUUGCCGGGCGGACCCUUGAGAUUGCUUGUGGAGCUUGCCAUCUCGAGGGACGAGGAGUUACCGGCAUUGGUCUAUGAGGCAAGGCCUGUGGAGCAUCUCCCGGGGGCGGGUACGAGGCUGUGGAGAGAAAGAAGGGAUCUUGCUUCUAAUUCUAGUUCGAACUCAAAUAUUUUGGAAGCUGGAGAUCCUGCAUCGCAGGACACAAGUCUGGUUAUUGCAGAAGAAGGGCCAUCCGUUUCAGCAUUGACGGCACCUUUCCUACAGCAGCAAUUAGAAAGGCAUGGAGAAGUGGAACUUGAAGGAAUUGGGUUGAGUUCAUCAGGUGCAAUCAAGCUGGGGCUUGGAGAUUUUAUAUUUUAUAGUGUGUUGGUAGGGAGAGCAGCACUGUACGAUUUCAUGACAGUGUAUGCUUGUUAUCUUGCAAUCAUGUCUGGGCUGGGUAUCACUUUGUUGCUCUUAGCAUUUUAUCGCAAGGCAUUGCCAGCUCUGCCAGUGUCCAUAGCACUUGGUAUAAUCUUCUAUCUCUUGACGAGGGCUUCAUUGGAAGUGUUUAUGGUCCAAUGUUCGACAAAUCUAUUGAUGUUCUAGCAUGGUGUUUUUCUUCAUUCCAAUGGAAAUUAGAGAUAUGAUCUCUUUACUGCUUUCUGCAGCAUUAUUGUGGAAUGCAAAUGCUCAAGAAUUGUGCCUGAGGCUUUGUAUAAUGGUAAUUUAUAAUGUCACAAAAGAUUUAUUCUCAACUUUGUUCUCUUUUCUCCAGUUCCAUAGAUUUUGCACCAUUUAGUGAAUAUUGUGCUUUGAUAAAAUUGAAAAUGUGAUUUCAAGUGAUGCUUUUUAUGGAACUGGAGUUCAUUCAGUUCUUUUUAGAAUUCUGCUUUCAUUAUAGUUCAUUGUCGCCUUAAUAAAGAGAGACUUACGCAGAUAAGACAGAUAAAUUCACACAACAGGCACAAUAUGAAGAGUGCAAGUUUGUGAAAUGUAUGCAUUUAAAUAGUGAUUGCUAUAUUGGCAUGCAGCAUUUUUCAGAGACAGCAUGAGUUUGCAUCUUGUGGAAGCUUGAGCAAAGUAAGAACUUAUAUGAUGGUACCAGAUUCAGCUCCCUAUUACUCCAAGCAUACUUGCCCCUUACAUUUGCAAAUGUUAAUUUUAUUGCUAUUGUAUUUUAAUGAAAUAGGCUUCACAAAUCCUUUUGAUUUUAAGGUUGUUCUGAAGCUCAUAUGUUUGGUAAAGCUUCUGAUAAUUUGCGUUGUAUAAUUAUUGAAAACAAUUUAUCUUGUCUGUACUUUGCCAGGUUGAGCAUUUCCACAAUAAUCAACUAGAGGUUUUUGUGUCGUCAUUUUACUUUAUCUGAAUUUAGAAUGUUCUUCCAAAGUUACUGCCUUCUCUUUGUUUGUUUCUUCUACUAUAAAGACAACAUUAAACCCUUGAGCUGUGGGCAUCAUCCAAAUGGCAACAAUGAUUAAAGAUUUUAGCUUGACAAGUAUCAUAACAAAUGAAACCUUCAAACCUUCAGGUAGCAUCAACCUAUCAAACUCUGUAGAUUUAACCAGUUUAAAAUUUUUGACAUUGUGGCAAUUAGUGAUAUCUGGAAUAUGACUUAUACGUCGUCUUUGUAAAACGGUUUAACCCUUGCAAUUCUUCAUGAAUCUUAUGAAAGUACCAAACGAUAUUAUGACUCUAACAAAACCUAGGGAAAUAAUGUGUUGUUUUUUCUUUUGUUUUCAUAUAUGCUCGAACAACUUCAAAAUUUCUUAAGGUUGAUUUUUUAAACAAAAUUGAGGCCAAUCUACAUCUGGAAAAAGGUGAUGAUGAUCUUUUUCUUGUGCAUCUUAAUCUGAUCUGUCACUCAACAUUGAAGAUGAUCUUUUUCUCUUGGUGAUUUACAUUAGUGCAAUAAUUCUCAUUUAAUUUUCCACUAUGUCAUUUGCUAUAAAACCAACUUUAUCUAAAAGCUUGCUUGGACAGAGUACUUAACCUUUAUGGACUGAUAAGUUAUCUCGUUACAAACAUUCGUCAAGAAUAUGGAUCAUCAGUGUUUCUUCUCUAAUUAUCUGUGAAACCCUGAAGUUUCCCUGUGCUUAAGGAAUAUACGAGAAAACUUACGAGAGUCCUCAUCACAAUCAGGUAUCUCUUAUCUUUUUUCAUCAAACAGGCUGAGUAAAAGCUUAUUGAUCUGUAUUCUACUUUAAUUUUCAGCUUUCAGUCACCUGGUUAACUAUAUUCAAGAAGCAGUGGAUUACAUGGGCAUUUAAACAGCUGAUUUUCUUGCUAAACUACUGGCAUCAGCUUCCAUUAUUUCAGAUGAUAAUGUUUAUAGGAAUAACAAAAGGUUUUGAUUGUAGCGUGACAUUUUUUGGGCAGCGUUGAUAGGUUUAGCUCAUAUGCAGCUUUGAAGAAGAUUGAACAAUUUCUCUCAAAAUCAUAAUGGGAUUCAACUGGGUUUGCCUCCAUGGCAGUGGUUAUACAAAGGCUUAGAUAAGAUUAGGUGUUCUUUGUACUCCUGCAUUUGCAGUCUAAUCUUACAUUUUUCUUUGUUUUCAAUAGGUUUAAUUUCUCUGUGUCGAGGAUUCAUAGUCACUUCAAAUUCAAGCAUUCAGCUAGUAAGUUCUUGAUGAAGAUGCCAGGCACUCAAGGAAUCAGCUGAUGACUCCGUCAUCUCCAAUUUUAACACUCAAACCAUUCAGAGUGUAUUCUUUCAUCUUGCUAUAUCUGCAAGUUGAUGCUAGCCAAAAUGUAAAAAUGAAGUAGAUUGCUUGGAUGACACCUUGCUUAAUGUGUCAGUAAUAUCAAAGUAUGCUUUUAGUAAUGCAUUUAAACUUCUGAACAUGACUUCUCCAAUUGGAUGUUCUUCUUCUUGAGCUCUCAUGUUGGCUGAACCUUGUAAUAGUACUGUUGAAGGCCUUGUGGUUGCCUAAUACCGGAACAUGUGGAGAUACUGAUAUAUAAAGUUGCCAAAUGAGACACCUCUGGAGCAUCUCUUGUGGAUGAAUGAGCAAGCAAGUGCUGCAGCUCUUGCAGAUUCUACUCAAAGAUGAGGUCAUUUCACUUAUGGAAAGUGAUUAGCUGUAAGAACUAGAUUUAAGAAAUUAACAUGCAGCACAGAAAUGUACUCUUGAUUUUGUUUUCCCUUCACAAAUCUCUGAAAUAUCAGCAUUUCCUUGUUGGUUUCCAGGAGAUAAUGGCUUCAAUAUCUUCAUUGGAUGUGAUAAUGUGAUAACAAAAUGAAACUUGUGAUUCCUUUCUCUCUUGUAGUCAAUCAGAGUUCAGAUUGAGAACCGGAUCAUACACUCUUGAGACUGGUGAAAGUAUCACAAGUCAAUCAAGAAGAUCUCACAUGCAGAUUGUGUUUGAUCUUGGUUAUAACUAUAUCCGUGGAAAUCAUCAUUCUCAGUGUCAUCCUAAAAAAUCAUAAAUGUUCAGAGUCCUCUCAAAGUUCUCAGUCCAGAUUUGAUUCUUAGACAAUUGCUGCUAAUAUACACCAUCAUGUUAGUGUUGGUAUAAAGAUGUAAUAACAACUGUAAUAUACAAAAACUGGUAACAAAUGUCUGUUCUAAUAAACCUAAACCCUACAGACAUUGUGACAUCUUCCUUCCUAAUUCCCUAUUAUGAAAGCACUAUUGGAGAUCAUUAGGUCCUUCUAAGUUAUAUAAGCAUAAUCUUCCUCGAGCAAACUAGUCUGAUGGACAGUGGAAAAAUAGUCAAAUCAAGCAGAUGAUGUAAAAGCACAAUGUAUCCUAUGUUUGCAAAUAUGCCUUGCACCUACCUUUUAAGCAGCAAGGAUGUAGAUAAUAGUAUCAACCAAAUCCAUCUCACAGAAAACUGGUGUGGGAGGAACAGGAAAUGAAAGAAGAUGCUGUAGGAACCUUUAUGAUGUUUGAUGAAAUGAGAAGGCAAUCUGGUAGAAGAUUAGAAUAGGAUGUCAGUUACUAAUAAAACAUUGAAUGAUUUGCCCAAACUCUGAACUAUAGUUGGAUCUCCAAAACCAGGCAUUAGUAAUGAGAUAUCAUUACAAACUAACGGCAGGUUAACACAAUGUGUUGAUGAUAGACACACCUGUCACUUCUACAUGAACGACUCGAAAGACUGAUUGAAUAAACAAAAGAAUUGCUGCAUAAUGAUUCUGUGUCAGUGAUGUAUAACUUGAGAAUUUAUCUCUAUAAAAGUAAUUGAUCUUGUAAAGUUAUGAACCAACAUAUAUUUACAUCUAAAAGGAGAAAAGAAUCAGGAAGAUCCAAAUUCCUAAGAAUGUGAUAAUCUAUACCGUAGGAAUCAGCAAUGAACACUGGAGCACCAGAGGCAUUUUUGUAUACAAGCACUUUGUCAACAAUCUAGAAGACUGAACAGAAAGUGGCGGCAAUUGUGAAACUGUCCGGAUAUCACCUUCUUCGUUGACUCUGCAAAGAUUUUGGGGACCCUUCAAAAAGAUCUAGCAAGUAUUCCUCUAAGUCAUCUGGGGAGUAUUUGAUGUACCUUUCUCGAUGUCUCUCACCAUCCAGAUGGCUAGCAUACCUACCUUCAAAUAUUCGGUACGCUUGUAUCAACUGGGCAGAUACGGAAAUCCUCAGAUCUUCUCGGAGUCCAUCAUUAGGAACAAACCAUGCUGUCUGAGCCUUAUAAACCUCUUCAAAUGCAUGGUUGAAGCCUCUGAACCUGUCCUUAAGAACUGUCAAGGAAGGAAUGCUACAACCUGGCUUGUGAAGCCCCUCUGCCCUCAGGAAAGAGAGAACAGAAGUCCAUGAGGCUCUCUCGUAUUUCUGUUCAUGCACAUGGAACUUCCUGAUGUGCACACGAAUCCAUUCAUCACCAAAGAAGUUUCUGAGGUUAGAAAGUUUAACUUUGUCAACCAUGUAACAGAUGUUGUUCAUCAUAAAAAUAUUUCGCAGAGAAACAUCAUUGUAAAGUUGUGAUUUAUGAUCAAGAUUUGUUUCCAAAAUUGUGGUCAGUGACUUCAGAUGCCAAGACAGAGGGGACUGAUCCAAAGAAGUCUUUCUACCACCAUCUUCUGUAGAUGAAGAUUGGUCGGCACCUUGUUGGUCCUCAAGAAUCAGACCAAGGGUCUCACUGUAAGCGGAAAGCGCUUUGAUGUAGUUCAUGACAUACUUUGUAAGAUGAUGGACUCCGCCUCCUGCAAAUGCGGUGGAUGAUCUAUUUGAUUGAAUAUUAUUUUUGAACUCCUCUAUGGUCCCACUCACAGAUUCCUUCAACCUCAGCAAAACUUCAUCGCAUUCAGUUAGCACGCAAGAUCCAUAGUCUUCUGGGAAGAAAUGCUCCAUGCGCACAAGAAGAUCAUUCAAAACCUCAUAGGUAUUAAGUAUCUGAAAUAGCCUUUCUGGCUUCGGAGGUGCAAUGGCUAUGGCCAUAGCAAUGCCGAGAAGUUGAAGAAUCGAACUCUUUGAGAUCUCGACAAAGCAAGAUUCCCUUGCUGAUCUUGGAAGCUUCCCAAAGACAAGAUUACAGAGGUGUCUUUCCCUGGCAAGAAAGUCCUGAAUGAAUGCACACAUUGCUUGUUUCCAUUUAUUUAUCAGGUGAUUCAAUUGCUUCCACUCCAUUUUGAACACUUCGCUGAUGCUGAAUUUGUCUAUUUGGAGAACUGAGAGGUACUCCUCAAGUGCUUCCUUUCUGACUGCUACAUAGGCCUGACAACAUUCCUUGUCAUAAUUGGAUAGGAACAUUAAAUUUGCAAUGGAGAUGAUAUUAGAAACUAGACCAUGCUGGAUUGAACUGGUAACAUCAUUCUCCGACUCUCUGAUGGUAUCACCAUGAGAUAUGCCCCCAACAGAUUCGUCGUCAAAAGAGCUGCUUGAGAAAUUGUCCACACUGUCAUCUUCUGCAGAAUGAAAUGAUGUGAUGUCAGGCUCCACAGGUUGGCAACAUUGUCUGAGAAGCUCAACCAACUCAUCCUCAAGCAUUUCCAUAGCCAUCUGAAGAAUGCUUUUAGCAAACUUCAGGAGUUCAUAAUGUUUUUCAUCUUUGUUGCUCGAAUACAGUAGUCCGAGUACUUCACCAAGUUCCCGAACUUCAGUCACAUCCUGUAAGCAUAUCAUCGACUUAUCAGCAUCCCAUCUGAGGAUCUUCUUCUCCAAUUCCUUCAACUGCUCUUCAAUGUCACAGAUUCCUACUUCUUCUGCAAUUGUCAAGUUCGAGUACUGGAUACCAAGAUCUGCAAUCAUUUCUGCCAUCUCAUCAGUAAGGUUUACAGUCUCUUCCUGCAUCACAACAUGCCUUCCUUCCACCUGAGCAGCUCCAACAGACACACACCCUGCCAUAGAAUGAUUUUGAUACGAUCCCACUACUUCACCACAAUAACAUGAACACGCAGGGUUACAACAACACAAAAGCCCACCCUUGGGUAACCGGGUGGGUAACCCCCCAAACUUCUCUUCACGCUUCUCUGUAUCAGUGAUGCACAAAACUAAGGUAUUAUUUGCACAAAUCAACAAGAAAGAAUGGCACAACAAACAGAAAAUGAGAAAAUUGCCCAAAUGAUCUACCAAUAGGGGAAAAAGGUAGAAGAACCGGCACAAGAAUUAAUGUCCUUAACAGAUAACUUGGGCAGUGGUCAAAACCAUUGAUACACAAAAAUGGAGGGCAACAAUAUCUUGCUAGUCAAAGGUGCCCUGCAAGCCAAUCACGUGAGUGAUGACACGUGUGACAUGGUAUGCGCUCUUUUUGUUUAUUAUUAUUAUGGUAUUUUCUCACUUUAUAUUAUUUGUUGUAUAUAUAUAUUGUGAUGUCCAUGAAUAUGUGCAAUGAGAAUCGAAUCGUGAUGAGAUCACGAUAAUGAGACCGAUUCACCUUUAAACGCAGGUCCUAAAUAAUCCCAAUCAUAUGUUACUUGAGAUGGACAUCGAGAUAACCGGACAGACUGGUGAACUAUAUAUCCGUCCAUAUAAUGGAGGCGGUUGAUUUCAUAGGUGCUCGUGUGGGACACUAGGGAUACAGUACAUGUGCUUAUAAGAGAAUGAGUUCAUUGAUUGAUCCGCUCACGGAAUGUUAGAUGAUUGAUGAUGCCUCAUUAUCAGACAACGAUUCUGUCGUCCUAGUGGUGUAUCUAGUCCUAAGACUUGAGACACCAAGGAUAUUCUAUAUGAGUACUCCACUCUUUGAUACCAGACUUACAAGUUUGAAAGUUCCAGAUCUAGCAUAGCCGAUCAUCAGGAGUGACAACCAACCUUACGAGGGCUAUUGAGUGUCGAUAGAGGAUCAUCCACUCUCGGUGUCAUGAGAGGAAUAUCUCAUAUGUUCUUGCUUAGACAAAUCCUUGGCCAGGGUCAUUCGGAUUGAGAGUGAAAGAGUUCUCCGGGAGAAUCCUAUUAAAGCGAUACUCGAGUAAAAAUUGUAUGCGCCUAGCAACACCAUGCCCGAUAUACGAUUUUUGGGACAUUAAAUGGAUGAGAAACUAUAUAUACAUAGUAACCGAAGACAGAAAGGUUUGGGGACUGCGGCGUUGUGGCCCAGGGAUUACGACGUAGUAGCCUAGUACGUCCACAGUCGAUGAGUCGAGUGAAUUGUUAUAGAGAUAAUAAUUCACUGAGCCAGAAAGAGUUCUAACAUGUAUGACUCACGGCUAACUUGAUGUUGGGCCUAGAGGGUCACACACAUAUGAUAGGUGUUGCGGUGAGUAGAAAUUCGAAUAUGAGAUAUCUGCUAGAGCCCCUAUCUUAUUGGAUAUCCAAUAAGCCCAUGAAUUAUUGGAACCUAUGGAUGAGAUCUAAUAAAAGUCAAUGAGAGAUUAUUGGAUAGAGAUCCACUAAUCUAAGAAUCUUAGAUAUUUGGAUAAAGAUUCAGUACCUAAUAUGACAUGAUCCAUUAGGGUUAAGUUGACAAGAGACCUCUAUAAAUAGGAGGAAACCAAAGGGUCAGAGACUAUACCUUUUUGACUGUCACCUCCUAUUCUCCUCUCCCUUUCUCCUCCUCAACCAACAACCCUUAUUUGAGGUGUGUGGAGAUUUAGGUAAUGAUUCGAGGAGCAUCUUCGCAGCUCCUAUCCUGUAGAUCACCGCUAGAGAGGAUGAUAAAUGAUCUCUUUCAUCCUCUCUCAUAUAUUUAUAGGAUUUCAGAGACAUACGAUCUCUCUAGGUAAAACAUAUCUCUCGUAUAUGCACGGUUUUCGAUUUUACGGUUUCACGCAUCAAUCUUCGUACAACGAUAAAAUUUUUUAGUAAAAAUCUGGGAUUUUUCAUUUUGUUCUUCUAUUAUGCAUGUGAUGUCGAUCGUAGAGUUCCCUGCAUAUCUAACAGUAUAUAAAGCGCAAAAGAACAAGUCAAAAGCAGGCAAGUCAGAUGACUAGGAAGUUCUCGAGCAAUCAACUAAAGACAGUAUCCAAUCCUAACUGCAACAGACUGUACGCUAGGAAGGAAAUCCUAGUAGCUAAAAUGGACAGAUGAAUAAGGGUUCAAUGAGCUUAGAUCCCCAUUCUUUAUUGUUCUCUUUGAAGUUCGAUCAAAUAUAUGGAAGACUCGGAUAAAAGCCACAAAACUAGUCAUGGAAUUGAAGAUUAGCAAAACAAAAGGAACAAACAAGAGACGGAAACAAACUGCAGAUUUCCCACUCAAAAUCUCACCUUUGGAAUUUCAAAGCGAGAAAACCCGGUCCUGUCUCUCCUCCUUCCUUCCUGAAGCGGAGAUCAGCUCUGACAAGCAGCACCACCAAAACGGCAAGUCAAUCCAACAAGAAGACCGGAAGAGGAAGACACUCGACUUAAAGAUCUUGACUAGAUGAGGAGGAUAGGUCGACGAACGGGAUUGGAAGGGGGGGUGGGGGGAGGGGUCCAAAAAUCCAAGGACUCAAAGACAGAACUUUGUGUCCGAGAAAUCUGAUGGAGAUCUCAGAGAGGAUUUGAGGCAAAUGAAGAAGGUGAACCGAAGUUUCCCAAAGUUCCAAGCGGCUGCGUCUCUCGUCUCUUCUUUCCGUUCUCUUCCCUUAGCCUCUAAUUUUUUCUUCGGCGUGCGCUGCUGUCACGACCUGUCACGACCUCUACAACGAAGUGGCGAAAGAGGACAAAAGAAAAAGAUCAUCACUUGGCCUACUGUAGCUCAGACGUGACCCUAUGUUCUACUUAUUUCUUGACUGGAUAGAGCAAUGGGACCCAUAUCUCUUGGUGACGAAAUGAAAGGUCGGUGUUCAAUGAGUGACGCAGUUGGAGAUAAAAGAAAGGGGCAAAAAGGAAGACGAACGCCAAAAUCCGACCGUCGGAUCGACGGGUCAAAACGCGCUUUCGGUGCCGUUAGCGCGCGGAGAGCCGUUGGAUGCUUGAUGGGCGUUGAUGAGCGCGACAUGGUUGGAUCGUAACGUCCGGUUUGGGGCGUUGGUGGUGGUCGCGAUGCCCGCGGGAACGUUGACUUAGACCUUGACUUACCUCUCUGUCAAAAGGAAUAUCUCCCACACACCCAUUUCUCCGGUACCCACUGGAUUACCUGCCAUGUAAUUGGAGACAGCGACGGUCCCACCGAUUGCGAAGAAAAGGAUUGCCGUAUCACCGUACAGUUCUUUGUCCAGAUUAGAACAUCUCCCUAUUGAAACUUCCGUGUUAUAGCAUAGCAUUAGAACAAAAGCAAUGUAUGAUAUAAAAUCAUUCAAGAAAUAUGUUCUGCGUUUAAUAUCAAAACAUUCAAGAAGAAUUUAGCAGCAUAACUCUUAUUAUCUAAUUUGUUGCUUUUUCUUUCUUACGUCAGCACCUGAUCAUGCUGUUGUCACUGUUUGAUAGGCUGACAUCAGUAGUGAAACAUUCAUGCUAAUAACCCUUUGUGCUUCACUCUCUCUCUCUCUCUCUCUCUCUCUCUCUCUCUCUGCUCAAUGUCUGAACAACUGUAGUCUUGCCUCUCAUAGGUUGCUGUAAUAUUCUAGUUAUAUGAAAGACACAAUAAAUUCAUAAGCAACCCUUAUCCUUAAGUAUAAGGGUGCGAGGGCGCAUCAAAGAGAGAUUUGGAUCAUUUAAGUUGAGGAACAUGUGUAGAGAAAUCUAAAAACGAGACUAACCAACCCUAUCAUUUUCGAUUUAAUACAUUCUUUAUAAGUUAAUUUUAAUUUUAUACUAAAAUUAAUAAAAAAAUAUACUUAUUAAAUCGAUCAUAUUCUUAUAAAUUAAUCUUAAUCUUAUAAAAUAUACUGAUGAUAGCUCAACAUCGUGACGAAUUUUUUGACUCUAAGUAACUCAUAUCAUGACCUAAGUCUAAUAGGUUAAUUAAUUCAUCAAUUUCAUUUGACUUAAACCACCGAUAAAAAUAUUUAAGUUAACAUUAAUAGUAAUAUAUUUAUUAGACUCAUCAUAUCCUUAUAAGUUAAUCUUAUACAUUUUUCAUGUAGAAUUAAUUGUGAAGUUACAAAUAAAGAAUAUAAAAAUUAAAUCUUUUGAGGUAGGGUAACCGAUUGAUCAAUUAUUCUAUAACAUCAAAAGGAGAGUGGUCUUCUGAGUAUUUAGAGAUAAUUAACUGUGAUAUCUAAGGAGAAUUUUAUAUUAAAAAAAUUUAAUUAAUUAAAUUAUUGUAUAUUUUUAAAAAUGAAGAGCAAUGUUAUAUUUUUUAUAUAAUUCAUUGGAUAUAGAAGAGCAAUGUUAACAUUUCUUGAAAAAAAAGGAAAAAAAAAACGAUGGGACACACAGUAUGGGCACUAUUAAAGAGAAAAUAAUGGUGUUGAUAUUGACACUGUAAAGGAGUUCUUGCAAGACCAAACUAGAUAUUUAUUGCUAGAUCAAGAUUUAUGUUGAUGAGAUGUGAUGUAAUUCUAUACCGAUUGUUAAUCGCAUAAUAUAAUCCACCUAUAUCUUUUUCAUCCGUGAUAAACAUAAUUGUUGAAGAUGGAGAACAAAAAUAUUAUAGGUUCAUUUAAAAAUUAAAAUUGACCCAUGAUAUAAAUAUUUGUAAGAAAAUACUUAUAUUAAAAACCCUUCCUUUUAACAUUUAUAUUUAUGUUAUGAUAUCUACACAAACAAGAGAUUAGUGAAAUCUCACCGUCCAUCGUGCUUGAUUAAUCCUAGUGAAAAAUAGUUGAUUAGGUAAUACAAGAAAUAAAUUUGGAAGAGAGGGUGAUCCAAUAAAUAUAUGUUUAUGAAGUCCUGAGACACAUUGGAUACAACUAGAAACACCAUAUUAAAUAGAUUAUAUAUAUAUAUAUAUAUAUAGAUUUGUGGCGAAAUAAUAAUCAUUAGCUUAUUGUACUACACAAAGUAUAAUUCCUGAUGUCAAUUAUAACUAAUUAUUAACAAAACUAUUGCUGAACGUUAUCCUGAAAAUUCAAUUUCAUAAUUUUUUUGAUAAAUAAUAUGCAUCUAAUUAUUAUUAUUAUUAUUAUUUUGGUUGGAUAUUAUUAUUGGGUCCCGCUCACCACUCAGACGGCAACACGGGUUUCCACCGCUCAUAUUUCACCACGUCACGUGAUCAAGCGGGUCGCAUCCGAUCGAUAUAGUGGAAGACGCAGCUUCUUAUCCUAUUCAAAAAUCGAAGCGAGAGAGAGAGAGAGAGAGUAAAAAUCUCGCCUUGUUCUUCGUCAAGCCCUCGUCCUCGUCCUCCUUUUGCCACUCCUUUUUCCAUGUAAGAUUAGCGCUGGGGUUCUGUGCGACCUCGACGGCCUACUUAUCCGCUCUCUAAGGUUUCCGACGUGUUGCCGGCCGGCCAGCGCCGAUGAACCUCCGCCGGAGAAUCCACGCCGGAACCCUCGCCUCUUCCUUCGUCUUCCUGCUCUUGGCCGUGAUCUACUUCCGCGGCUGCGGCGCCGAGCUGGACGCCCGUGGGGCGGAGAGAUCCGCGCUUCUUCAGUUCAAGCGCUCCGUCUCGGCCGACCCCGCCGAGCUACUCCGUGGCUGGAAUAGCUCCGUGGACCACUGCUUCUGGCCCGGCGUCGCCUGCGACGGCCGGUACCGGGUCGUGUCCGUCAACAUCUCCGCGAAAGGCGGAUCCCUUCCGCUCCCCUGCGCUCGAUUUGGCCCGUAUCGGCGGAGCUGCGGUGACCCUGGUCGGAGGCUAGCUGGAAGGCUGAGCGCCGCUGUCGGGAGCCUCUCCGAGCUCAGGGUGCUCUCUUUGCCGUUCCAUGGCUUUGAUGGCGAGAUCCCGGUCGGGAUCUGGGGGUUGGAGAAUCUGCAAGUGCUUGAUCUCGAAGGUAACUCGAUUUCGGGUAGCCUGCCUUCGCGUCUCCCUCGCUGGUUGCGUGUGCUAAAUCUGGCUUCCAAUUCGAUCGAAGGUGAGAUCCGGCCCUCGCUCUCGAGAUGUAUCGACUUAGAAACCCUAGACCUCUCUGGCAACCAGAUCAAUGGAACGAUUCCGAAAUUUCUUGGUGGCUUAUCUAAACUUAGAGAGCUGUAUCUCUCUUUUAAUCGGCUUGGUGGGUCGAUUCCUGAUGAGAUUGGAUACGGGUGCCGGAGUCUCCAGAUACUUGACUUGGCUGGAAAUCUACUGGUCGGAAGCAUUCCGUCCAAUUUAGGCAGCUGCACUGAGCUGCAAGUUCUGUUGCUGUUUUCCAACCUUUUGGAUGGAUAUAUUCCUUCUGAUCUUGGGCGAUUGAACAAGCUGCAAGUUAUGGAUGUGUCAAGGAACAGUCUGAGCGGAACCGUACCUGCGGAGCUAGGGAACUGCUUAGAAUUAUCCGUCAUUGUUCUUCUGAAUCUAUAUGAACCGGUGCUGCAGGAAGCAGCUUCUAAUUCUGUUGAUAUGGAUGAAUUCAAUUAUUUCCAAGGUAGACUUGCUGAAAACAUCACUGCUCUGCCGAAGCUUAGGGUGCUUUGGGCCCCAAGGGCAAUGUUUCAAGGUGAGAUUCCUGGAAAUUGGGGUACCUGUGAGAGCUUAGAAAUGCUUAAUUUGGGCCAGAAUCUUUUCACAGGGCAGAUACCUAAAGUGUUCGGCCAGUGCAAAAAUCUUAGGUUUCUUAAUCUGAGCUCAAACAGCUUGACGGGUUGGCUUGACAAGGAGCUUCCCGUGCCUUGUAUGGACGUCUUUGAUAUCAG
rnacentral:lncRNA from 1 species